UAUAUAGUACAUUCUUUCUUUCUUUCUUUUUUCGAUGUUAAAUAGUAUUUAUUACUAUUUUAUAAUGUAUAAUGCUGUUUUAACGGUUGUCUGUCCCACUAGUUAGUACAGUAGGUUUCAUACUAUUUCACUUCAGGAGGCUGUACACUGUUUAGUACAGUAGGAUUCAUACUAUUUCACUGCAUGAGGCUGUACACUGUUUAGUAUGGUACGUUUCAUACUAUUUCACUGCAUGAGGCUAUACACUGUUAGUACAGUAUGUUUCAUACUAUUUCACUGCAUGAGGCUAUACACUGUUAGUACUGUAGGUUUCAUACUAUUUCACUUCAGGAGGCUGUACACUGUUUAGUACUGUAGGUUUCAUACUAUUUCACUUCAGGAGGCUAUACACUGUUUAGUACAGUAGGUUUCAUACUAUUUCACUUCAGGAGGCUAUACACUGUUAGUACAGUAUGUUUCAUACUAUUUCACUGCAUGAGGCUGUACACUGUUUAUACAGUAGGUUUCAUACUAUUUCACUGCAUGAGGCUAUACACUGUUAGUACAGUAGGUUUCAUACUAUUUCACUGCAUGAGGCUGUACACUGUUUAGUACAGUAGGUUUCAUACUAUUUCACUGCAGGAGGCUGUACACUGUUUAGUACAGUAGGAUUCAUACUAUUAUUUCACAAACCCGUGAACAGAAGAACAGAGGUAAAAGUUACAGUUAUUUUGUCUCUCCUAUGUCGGUAAAUGUUCACAGUUUCAACCAAAAGGUACAACAGAACUUCUUUUUUUUUUUUUUUUUGUAAGCAUCCUACGGCUUUUUGAGAACGUUUAUUCACGUCCCUUUUACAGUUCAUCUUCACUCAACUACCUCCAUCCACUUCCUAUCCUUCUCCUUCAGGAGAUUUCUCUGUGCUGUGAAACACAGAGCUGCACUCUGUUUAAGCCAACACGAUUCAGUCAGUACUGCAGUCCAAAUCCGACUUUAGCCUUAGCGUGAUAUCGGAAAAUGUAACGGAUCACGGAGGGAAACACCAAACUACUUCUUUGUGUGGCGGCACUUAUGAUUUUACGACCUGGAAUUAGUCAAAAAGAAAGGAAACGCGACCAACUCCGGCUGUACAUGAAGAGCAGCUCAUGGAAAUGAAGGAAUGUUGUGUAGUUUUAAAUAAGAAAGAAGCUAAAGCUGACCUGUGUGCUGGUGAAGUCUCUCAUUCUUCUCGCGCUGUUGUUCCUCUCCACCCCGGCAUUGUGGCCCAUUCAGGAAGUCUUCAACAGGAUCUUCCCCUCUCUCUCUCUCUCUCUCUCUCUCUCUCUCUCUCUCUCACACACACACACACACACACACACACACACACACACACUUUCAUCUGUCUCUGUUCUCUCUUUUGUCUUCCUUCCCACCCUUAAUUUUUUUCUACUUCUUCCCACUUUUCUCCUCUUGCUCUCUUUCUCACUCUUUCAUUUGUCUCUUCUCUAUUGCAGUCUCUUUUUAUAUUCUCCCACACUUUUAAUUUACUCUUUUAUCAUUUUCCUCAUCUUUCUAUUUAGAUUUCUGCCCCCUAUUUUUCUUCAGCUCUUUUACCUCUUAUUACAGUAAUCAUCUCUUUUUUU
ensembl:lncRNA